rnacentral:rRNA from 1 species
AUUGAACGCUGGCGGCAUGCCUUACACAUGCAAGUCGAACGGUAACAGGUCUUCGGAUGCUGACGAGUGGCGAACAGGUGAGUAAUACAUCGGAACGUGCCCGAUCGUGGGGGAUAACGAAGCGAAAGCUUUGCUAAUACCGCAUACGAUCUACGGAUGAAAGCGGGGGAUCUUCGGACCUCGCGCGGACGGAGCGGCCGAUGGCAGAUUAGGUAGUUGGUGGGAUAAAAGCUUACCAAGCCGACGAUCUGUAGCUGGUCUGAGAGGAUGAUCAGCCACACUGGGACUGAGACACGGCCCAGACUCCUACGGGAGGCAGCAGUGGGGAAUUUUGGACAAUGGGCGCAAGCCUGAUCCAGCCAUGCCGCGUGCAGGAUGAAGGCCUUCGGGUUGUAAACUGCUUUUGUACGGAACGAAAAGGUGCCUUCUAAUAAAGGGCGCUCAUGACGGUACCGUAAGAAUAAGCACCGGCUAACUACGUG